rnacentral:tRNA from 1 species
UGGCUCAGUUGUAGAGCUCUUGCCUUGCAUGCAUGAGGCCCUGGGUUUGAUUCCCCAG